rnacentral:rRNA from 1 species
UGUAAGUAGAGCGUUAUAGAGCGAAACUGCGAACGGCUCACUACAACAGAUAUAAUCUACUUGUUCUGUGACUUAAAUGGAUAACUGCGGUAAUUCUGGAGCCAAUACAUGCGUGAAGCUGCGGCCUUCGGGUCGCAGUGCUAUUAUUGGAGCAAAACUAUUCGUUAGUCCUUUUGCUAACUCUGGAUAAUACUGCGUAUCGCACGAUCUUGUGUCGGCGAAGUUUCAUUCGAGUAUCUGCCCUAUCAACUGGUUGGCAGUGUAUUGGACUGCCAUGGUUCUAACGGGUAACGGAGAAUCAGGGUUUGACUCCGGAGAAUCCGCCUUAAAAACGGCGAAUAUGUCUAAGGAUAGCAGCAGGCGCGAAAAUUACCCAAUAUCAAUACGAUGAGGUAGUGACGAGAAAUAACGAGUCCGUUCUCUCUGAGGUCGGACAUUGGAAUGGGUACAAUGUAGACAAUUUAACGAGUAUCUACGAGAGGGCAAGUCUGGUGCCAGCAGCCGCGGUAAUUCCAGCUCUCGUAAUACAUAGAAUUAUUGUUGCGGUUAAAAAGUUCAUAGUUGGAUUGUCGAACCGUGCGGGGUGCGUCCUAGCGGGCGUCACUCGCGUGCGGUAUUUUGCGCGUUUUCGGGCCUUCGGGUCGGUGAUGCGCAGGAUUACUUUGAACGGCUUAAGUGCUCAAGGCGGGUCUUACGACUGAAUACCGGUGCAUGGAAUAAUGGAACAAGGUUGCGGCCGAGUUUUAUUGGUUUUGUCGGCUGAAACAAUGGUUAACAGGAACAGCCGGGGGCAUUCGUAUCGCUGCGCGAGAGGUGAAAUUCGAGGACCGUAGCGAGACGCACUAAAG